GUCCACGAGGGACGGGGAAAGCUUGAAAGGAAGAGGGACCAGGCCAGACGCUUCAUGUCACAUCCCGACUGACACUCAGCUCGGGUUCUGCAGCCUAGAAUAGGAGACGCUGCGCCUGCCUUGCAGGACGCUAGGGAGUCGCUCCUUCGUCCCAGUCCCACAGUGGCCCCUGCCCCUGCCAGAGCUGCCCUCUCUGUGGGAGUCCCCAGCCAGAGUGAGAAGCCAGGAUGUGCGUCGGGGAAAGGGACCAGCCUCCAAGCAGGCGGCGGAUCAAGCGCUGCUUCACGGCAAAGGAGAGGAGACAGCGUCCAUAGUCUAAGAGAAACCCUCCAAGUGGCAGC
rnacentral:lncRNA from 1 species